GAUGAACGCUGGCGGCGUGCCUAACACAUGCAAGUCGAGCGAUUCUCUUCGGAGAAGAGCGGCGGACGGGUGAGUAACGCGUGGGUAACCUGCCCUGUACACACGGAUAACAUACCGAAAGGUAUGCUAAUACGAGAUAAUAUGCUUUUAUCGCAUGGUAGAAGUAUCAAAGCUUUUGCGGUACAGGAUGGACCCGCGUCUGAUUAGCUAGUUGGUAAGGUAACGGCUUACCAAGGCGACGAUCAGUAGCCGACCUGAGAGGGUGAUCGGCCACAUUGGAACUGAGACACGGUCCAAACUCCUACGGGAGGCAGCAGUGGGGAAUAUUGCACAAUGGGCGAAAGCCUGAUGCAGCAACGCCGCGUGAGCGAUGAAGGCCUUCGGGUCGUAAAGUUCUGUCCUCAAGGAAGAUAAUGACGGUACUUGAGGAGGAAGCCCCGGCUAACUACGU
rnacentral:rRNA from 1 species